GAUGAACGCUGGCGGCGUGCUUAACACAUGCAAGUCGAACGGGAUCUAGGAAGUGCUUGCACUUUUUGGUGAGAGUGGCGAACGGGUGAGUAACACGUGAGUAACCUGUCCUUUUCUUUGGGAUAAGCUCCUGAAAGGGUGUUUAAUACCUUAUGUUCUGCCUGCCUCGCAUGGGGUGGGUGGGAACGAUUUUUUCGGUGAAGGGUGGGCUGGCGUUGUAUCAGCGUGUUGGUGGGGUGUUGGCUUACAAAGGCUUUGACGGGUAGUCAGCGUGAGAGGGGCGUCGGGGGUAUCGGGACUGAGAGGCGGCGCAGAAUGCUGCAGGAGGCAGCAGUGGGCAGUAGUGGACAAUAGGCGCAAGCCUGAUGAAGCGAGGUGGCGUGGGGGAGGAAGGGCGACGGGUUGUAAACUGCUUUUGCCCUGAACAGGGCGCACCAUGGGGUGUGUUGAGUGUAGGGGUAGAUUAGCGCCGGCUAACUACGUG
rnacentral:rRNA from 1 species